AUUGAACGCUGGCGGCAGGCCUAACACAUGCAAGUCGAGCGGAUGAAGGGAGCUUGCUCCUGGAUUCAGCGGCGGACGGGUGAGUAAUGCCUAGGAAUCUGCCUGGUAGUGGGGGAUAACGUCCUGAAACGGGCGCUAAUACCGCAUACGUCCUGAGGGAGAAAGGGGGGGAUCUUCGGACCUCACGCUAUCAGAUGAGCCUAGGUCGGAUUAGCUAGUUGGUGGGGUAAAGGCCUACCAAGGCGACGAUCCGUAACUGGUCUGAGAGGAUGAUCAGUCACACUGGAACUGAGACACGGUCCAGACUCCUACGGGAGGCCGCAGUGGGGAAUAUUGGACAAUGGGCGAAAGCCUGAUCCAGCCAUGCCGCGUGUGUGAAGAAGGUCUUCGGAUUGUACAGCACUUUAAGUUGGGAGGAAGGGCAGUACGUUAAUACCUUGCUGUUUUGACGUUACCAACAGAAUAAGCACCGGCUAACUUCGUG
rnacentral:rRNA from 1 species